rnacentral:rRNA from 1 species
GUUGAUGAACGCUGGCGGCAUGCCUUACACAUGCAAGUCGAACGGCAGCACGGGGGCAACCCUGGUGGCGAGUGGCGAACGGGUGAGUAAUACAUCGGAACGUGUCCUGUAGUGGGGGAUAGCCCGGCGAAAGCCGGAUUAAUACCGCAUACGCUCUACGGAGGAAAGGGGGGGAUCUUAGGACCUCCCGCUACAGGGGCGGCCGAUGGCAGAUUAGCUAGUUGGUGGGGUAAAGGCCUACCAAGGCGACGAUCUGUAGCUGGUCUGAGAGGACGACCAGCCACACUGGGACUGAGACACGGCCCAGACUCCUACGGGAGGCAGCAGUGGGGAAUUUUGGACAAUGGGGGAAACCCUGAUCCAGCAAUGCCGCGUGUGUGAAGAAGGCCUUCGGGUUGUAAAGCACUUUUGUCCGGAAAGAAAACCUCUGGGUUAAUACCCCGGGGGGAUGACGGUACCGGAAGAAUAAGCACCGGCUAACUACGUGCCAGCAGCCGCGGUAAUACGUAGGGUGCAAGCGUUAAUCGGAAUUACUGGGCGUAAAGCGUGCGCAGGCGGUCCGCUAAGACAGAUGUGAAAUCCCCGGGCUUAACCUGGGAACUGCAUUUGUGACUGGCGGGCUAGAGUAUGGCAGAGGGGGGUAGAAUUCCACGUGUAGCAGUGAAAUGCGUAGAGAUGUGGAGGAAUACCGAUGGCGAAGGCAGCCCCCUGGGCCAAUACUGACGCUCAUGCACGAAAGCGUGGGGAGCAAACAGGAUUAGAUACCCUGGUAGUCCACGCCCUAAACGAUGUCAACUAGUUGUCGGGUCUUCAUUGACUUGGUAACGUAGCUAACGCGUGAAGUGACCGUCC